UGCAAGUCGAGCGGACAGAUGGGAGCUUGCUCCCUGAUGUUAGCGGCGGACGGGUGAGUAACACGUGGGUAACCUGCCUGUAAGACUGGGAUAACUCCGGGAAACCGGGGCUAAUACCGGAUGCUUGUUUGAACCGCAUGGUUCAAACAUAAAAGGUGGCUUCGGCUACCACUUACAGAUGGACCCGCGGCGCAUUAGCUAGUUGGUGAGGUAAUGGCUCACCAAGGCAACGAUGCGUAGCCGACCUGAGAGGGUGAUCGGCCACACUGGGACUGAGACACGGCCCAGACUCCUACGGGAGGCAGCAGUAGGGAAUCUUCCGCAAUGGACGAAAGUCUGACGGAGCAACGCCGCGUGAGUGAUGAAGGUUUUCGGAUCGUAAAGCUCUGUUGUUAGGGAAGAACAAGUGCCGUUCAAAUAGGGCGGCACCUUGACGGUACCUAACCAGAAAGCCACGGCUAACUACGUGCCAGCAGCCGCGGUAAUACGUAGGUGGCAAGCGUUGUCCGGAAUUAUUGGGCGUAAAGGGCUCGCAGGCGGUUUCUUAAGUCUGAUGUGAAAGCCCCCGGCUCAACCGGGGAGGGUCAUUGGAAACUGGGGAACUUGAGUGCAGAAGAGGAGAGUGGAAUUCCACGUGUAGCGGUGAAAUGCGUAGAGAUGUGGAGGAACACCAGUGGCGAAGGCGACUCUCUGGUCUGUAACUGACGCUGAGGAGCGAAAGCGUGGGGAGCGAACAGGAUUAGAUACCCUGGUAGUCCACGCCGUAAACGAUGAGUGCUAAGUGUUAGGGGGUUUCCGCCCCUUAGUGCUGCAGCUAACGCAUUAAGCACUCCGCCUGGGGGAGUACGGUCGCAAGACUGAAACUCAAAGGAAUUGACGGGGGCCCGCAC
rnacentral:rRNA from 2 species